GCUGGGUGUGGUGGUACAUGCCUAUAGUCCCAGCUACUCAGGAGGCUGAAGCAGGAGGAUCACUUGAGCCCAGGAGCUGGAGGCCAACCUGAACAACAGAGUAAGUACCCUGUCUCAA
rnacentral:sRNA from 1 species